rnacentral:lncRNA from 1 species
AGCAGGGCAAUUGUGACUCAAUAAUCACUGUGGUCCUUUUCAACCCAGGACAUUUUAUGAUUCUCUGUAUAAAAUAAGCAUGUUUUAUCAAGCCAUGUUGCCUUUAAAGAGGCUUAGGAUUGGCAUGUGUUUUCCUAAUGUAACCUGGGUGAAAACAGCUAGUUAUCUUUUUAGGUAACUUGUGAGGUGAUGGAGGCAUCUGAGUAUUUUCAUUGGAGCUAUAUGUAACUCACAAUUAUCUGAGAGCUCAUUUUGUGCACUAGGGUAUUGUAAAUCCUAUUAGCUAGACUCUUCAUGUUACAAAAGCUCUACCAGAUUAUUCUGCCCCUUGGGAAAGGCUGUAGUGCAUGGUGAAAGCUGCUAUAGACUGAGUGGCAAUUCUUAUUCUCAAACUGUAGGUAUCUGCUAGUGUCAUGUGAUGUACACAGCAGUCAUCUUGGUGCCAUGACUUCCUCUUAUCAGAACAGUGCAGUUUCAGAAUGCCUUGCUUGGGAUCUCUGAUGUGUAUGCUUGCUCUUCCAGAGUGGGUAGGUUACAAAGAAGCAUCUGGUUAGCCUUGUACCUUUUGUUUACCUGACCUAGAAUGUUGUGAGGGAGCACAUUUCCAUUCUAGUGAUGAAGGUCAGGGUACAAAACGUGCAGUGAUGUUGGUUGGUGUCAUCCAACUUGUUUCAAAGGUAUCAAAGCAAAGCCCCAAAGGAGUAUAAAGACACCACUGUGAAGUUACAGUACUUUUCCGGGGAGAUAUUACAAACAAGAAUGAGGUGAAGGGAAAAAAAAUACUGAAAUAACUGUGAUUCUUACAGGAGAUGGAAAGGACAAGAUUAAACCAUCUCCAGAAAUCCCUUCCAGCCUUAGCCAUUUUCCAGUUCGGAUGUUGAUGGGCAUUUGUGCAAGAACUGUAUGGAUGACUUCUUAAGGAGCUGAAUAGACAUGAAGAGGACUGUCCCAUUUCAGCAGCAGUAAAUGCAUCCUACCCUGAGUCCAGAUGCCACCUGGGAAUGAGAUUCCAGGCUUACCAGAGAAGUAUUUCAUGGUUGUUGGUAGACUUCACUGCUGGGACACUUUGGUUGCUGGAAGGAGUUGGGAUCUGUCUUCAAUAAUGAUUCCUCUCUGAACAUGUGAGCUUUGAGGUACCAGAGAUGGAACUGAGUUGUGCAUGCCUUUGUAUACAGCCCUGUGUUCUUAUGAGUGGCAGUCU